rnacentral:rRNA from 15 species
GCUUACGGCCAUACCACCCUGAACGCGCCCGAUCUCGGAAGCUAAGCAGGGUCGGGCCUGCUUAAUACUUGGAUGGGAGACCGCCCUGGGAAUACCAGGUGCUGUAAGCC